ensembl:lncRNA novel transcript, antisense to MXRA7
ACAGUGUAGGGGCUGGGAUGAGUGGAUGAGGGAAAUCCGACUCCUCUCAGAUAUCCACAGGCAGGACAAGGUGGCCAAGGCCGAGCUGAUGGACAGCAUGGCGGGAGGCCUGGGGCAGAGGCAGGGAGGGCCGCUUUGGGGUGCUCACUGGUGCUCCAGGAGGGCUUUAUCCUGCAUCUUCACUCCAUCCAGGCCCAGCUUACCUACAACCCGGGGGAGUGGGGGUAGGAGGGUGUUAGAUGUGUAGCUUGAAAACGACAAUAAAAAGGACUGCUGGGAUCGGGUG